UACGUAGGGGGCAAGCGUUAUCCGGAUUUACUGGGUGUAAAGGGAGCGUAGACGGCGGUGCAAGCCAGAUGUGAAAGCCCGGGGCUCAACCCCGGGACUGCAUUUGGAACUGUGCUGCUAGAGUGUCGGAGAGGCAGGCGGAAUUCCUAGUGUAGCGGUGAAAUGCGUAGAUAUUAGGAGGAACACCAGUGGCGAAGGCGGCCUGCUGGACCGAAACUGACGUUGAGGCUCGAAAGCGUGGGGAGCAAACAGG
rnacentral:rRNA from 1 species